rnacentral:rRNA from 1 species
GAUGAACGCUGGCGGCGUGCCUAAUACAUGCAAGUCGAGCGAAUGGAUUAAGAGCUUGCUCUUAUGAAGUUAGCGGCGGACGGGUGAGUAACACGUGGGUAACCCGCCCAUAAGACUGGGAUAACUCCGGGAAACCGGGGCUAAUACCGGAUAACAUUUUGAACCGCAUGGUUCGAAAUUGAAAGGCGGCUUCGGCUGUCACUUAUGGAUGGACCCGCGUCGCAUUAGCUAGUUGGUGAGGUAACGGCUCACCAAGGCAACGAUGCGUAGCCGACCUGAGAGGGUGAGCGGCCACACGGGGACUGAGACACGGCCCAGACUCCUACGGGAGGCAGCAGUAGGGAAUCUUCCGCAAUGGACGAAAGUCUGACGGAGCAACGCCGCGUGAGUGAUGAAGGCUUUCGGGUCGUAAAACUCUGUUGUUAGGGAAGAACAAGUGCUAGUUGAAUAAGCUGGCACCUUGACGGUACCUAACCAGAAAGCCACGGCUAACUACGUGCCGGCCGCCGCAGUAA